rnacentral:rRNA from 1 species
AUGUACUACCGUGGACGGUGCCACUGCUUCUACCAGUACAACCCCACCAGAGUCAUCUGGGGCAACAUCACGUGGGGCCAUGAUGCAUCGCGGGACAUGGUCCACUGGCGCCACCUCCCGCUCGCCAUGGUGCCCGACCAGUGGUACGACAUCCACGGUGUCUUAACCGGCUCCGCCACGAUACUCCCCAACGGCACGGUCAUCGUGCUCUACACGGGCAAAACUGACACCUCUGCUCAAGUCCAGUGCCUCGCCCUUCCUGCCGACCCAGAUAACCCCCUCCUUGUCAACUGGACCAAGCAUCCUGCCAAACCGGUCAUCCUCCCACCCGGGAUCGGCCUCCAGGACUUCCAUGACCCCACCACCGCCUGGUUUGACCAGUCUGGCUAGACAUGGCACACCCUCAUCCGCUCCAUGGACAACGGCCACGCCGGCAUCGCCUUGAUGUACAAGACCAAGGACUUCCUCAGGUACGAGCUCAUCCCGGGGGUGCUCCACCGCGUCGAGGGCACUGACAUGUGGGAGUAUGUCGACUUCUACCUGGUCGGCGGGAGCAACAACUCCUCGGAGGAGGCGUUGUACGUGUUGAAGUCAACAACUACAACACCAAGUCCAAACAUAACCCAACUAGCACAAAAUAUUCGACACAAACCCAACAAACGACAUGACUACUACGCGUUGGGGACGUAUGAUGCGGCGACCAAGAUGUGGACGCCAUUGGACCCAGAGCUGGAUGUGGGGAUCGGGCUGAGUUACGACUGAGGAAAGUUCUUUGCUGCCACCUCUUUCUACGACCCGGUGAAACGGCGGUGCGUGAUGUGGGCUUAUGUCGGCGAGACCGACUUCAUGAGUGCCAACGUUGCCAAGGGAUGGGCUUCGGUCCAGACGAUUCCGAGGACGGUAGUGUUGGAUGAGAAGACCCGGACGAACCUCCUCCAAUGGCCGGUAGAGGAGAUUGAGACCCUCCGCUUCAACAGCACCGACUUUGGGGUCAUCACUAUCCACACUGGAUCCAUCAUCCCUCUCUGCCUCCACCAAGCCACUCAGCUUGACAUCGAGGCCUCCUUUCGCCUAGAAGCUUCCGCUAUUGCCAUCAUCAAUGAGGCUGACGUCAACUACAACUGCAGCACUAGUGGCGGAGCCUCAACCAUGGGCACACUUGGUCCCUUCGGCCUCCUCAUCCACGCCGCCGGCAGCAGUGGCAGCGAACAACUCGCGGUUUACUUCUAUGUGUCGAGGGGCCUCGACGGGGCACUCCGAACCCACUUCUGCCAUGACGAGUUACUGUCGUCCCGGGCGAAUGAUGUCAUGAAGCAUGUGGUGGGUAGCACCGUGCCGGUGCUCGAUGGCAAGGCUCUAUCUAUGAGGGUGAUCGUGGACCAUUCGAUCGUGGAGAGCUUCGCGAUGGGCGGGAGGUUGACGGCGACGUCACGGGUGUACCCGAUGGAAGCCAUCCAUACGGCGGCGGGGGUAUACCUUUUCAACAACGCCACCGGCUCCUCCAUCGCUGUCGAGAAGCUUGUAGUUCAUGAGAUGGCCUCGGCAUCUUACAACCAGACUUUCGUGGCCGACCACGACUGGUAG